CCUACGGGAGGCUGCAGUGGGGAAUAUUGGACAAUGGGGGCAACCCUGAUCCAGCCAUGCCGCGUGUGUGAAGAAGGCCCUCGGGUUGUAAAGCACUUUCAGUGAGGAAGAACGCCUGGUGGUUAAUACCCAUCAGGAAAGACAUCACUCACAGAAGAAGCACCGGCUAACUCCGUGCCAGCAGCCGCGGUAAUACGGAGGGUGCGAGCGUUAAUCGGAAUUACUGGGCGUAAAGCGCGCGUAGGUGGCUUGAUAAGCCGGUUGUGAAAGCCCCGGGCUCAACCUGGGAACGGCAUCCGGAACUGUCAAGCUAGAGUGCAGGAGAGGAAGGUAGAAUUCCCGGUGUAGCGGUGAAAUGCGUAGAGAUCGGGAGGAAUACCAGUGGCGAAGGCGGCCUUCUGGACUGACACUGACACUGAGGUGCGAAAGCGUGGGUAGCAAACAGGAUUAGAUACUCCUGUAGUC
rnacentral:rRNA from 1 species